rnacentral:tRNA from 1 species
GCCUGGGUGGCUCAGUCGGUUAAGCAUCUGACUGCGGCUCAGGUCAUGAACUCAUUCAUGGUCCGUGGGUUCAAGCCCUGCAUCGGGCU